GCUCGAGUGGCGAACGGGUGAGUAACACGUGAGUAACCUGCCCUUGACUUUGGGAUAACUUCAGGAAACUGGGGCUAAUACCGGAUAGGAGCUCCUGCUGCAUGGUGGGGGUUGGAAAGUUUCGGCGGUUGGGGAUGGACUCGCGGCUUAUCAGCUUGUUGGUGGGGUAGUGGCUUACCAAGGCUUUGACGGGUGGCCGGCCUGAGAGGGUGACCGGCCACAUUGGGACUGAGAUACGGCCCAG
rnacentral:rRNA from 1 species